UUACAGCAAGCUGCUGAUUCAGCUCUUUGAAGACUGGGAUUUGAGUAGAAUAGAAUAGCUGGAGAGGGAUCUUCAAAGAUCGUCCAGUCCUACUGCCUGACCACUUCAGCUCAUGCAACAUGGCCACAGAAACAAGAAACUCAGAGGUUUGGUUUAAAGGUGAUUUCUAUUUUUGAGGAGCCUAUAGGUUAUCCUAUAGGAUAUCCACGUAUCUGGAUAUGCAACCCCAGCUUUGGAAGAGCUUCUGCUAGAUGAGAUGGAUACCUUUGGCAAGUUUCUGGAUGUUUAGCCCUCUUGAAAAUCUGUCACUGUACGUAGUAUUCCUGAGAUUUCUAGAUGAACUCAACGUGCUCCACAUACAGUUGAUCUGCCCCGGAAGAAUUCCUUAUGGAUGAGAGUUCUUCCAGAACCAGUGAAUUCCUACAGGAAGAUUUCAGAAUAAAAGUGAGUAAAUACUAACUUUCUGGUAGUAA
rnacentral:lncRNA from 1 species